GACGAACGCUGGCGGCGUGCUUAACACAUGCAAGUCGAACGGAAAGGCCCUGCUUUUGUGGGGUGCUCGAUUGGCGAACGGGUGAGUAACACGUGAGUAACCUGCCCUUGACUUUGGGAUAACUUCAGGAAACUGGGGCUCAUACCGGAUAGGAGCUCCUGCUGCAUGGUGGGGGUUGGAAAGUUUCGGCGGUUGGGGAUGGAUUGGCGGCUUAUCAGCUUCAUGGUGAGGUAGUGGCGUACCAAGGCUUUGACGGAUAGGCGGCCUGAGAGGGUGACCAGCGUCAUGAGGACUGAGGGAGGGAGCAGAAUCGUACGGUAGGCAGUAGGCGGAAGUAUGACGGAACGGGGGGGAGUGAGAUGUAGCGACGCUGGGUGCGGAAUGACGGCCUACGGGGUGUAAACAGAUUUGGCAGGUAAUGAGGAGUGAGUGACGGUAAUGAAUAAAAAAGCAACGGCUAACUACGUG
rnacentral:rRNA from 1 species